rnacentral:rRNA from 1 species
UACGUAGGGUCCGAGCGUUGUCCGGAAUUACUGGGCGUAAAGAGCUCGUAGGUGGUUUGUCGCGUUGUUCGUGAAAACUCACAGCUCAACUGUGGGCGUGCGGGCGAUACGGGCAGACUAGAGUACUGCAGGGGAGACUGGAAUUCCUGGUGUAGCGGUGGAAUGCGCAGAUAUCAGGAGGAACACCGGUGGCGAAGGCAGGUCUCUGGGCAGUAACUGACGCUGAGGAGCGAAAGCGUGGGGAGCGAACAGG